rnacentral:rRNA from 1 species
CCCGAAUCUUGAAGAGCUAUUGGUUUAUUUUUUUAAUGUAUCAUAAUUAUUGUUAAUUGAUCAGUAGGGGCGAAACGUUAUUCGUUUUAAGAUAUAUCUGGUUCUUUAAGAAAUAGAUUUAAUCUAGCCGUAUAAAAGUAGUUGAUUAAUUUAUAGUUUUCUAUUUUAUUCAGGUAAGCCGUUUGGGGAUAAGCUCUAAUGGUAAGUUUUAUUUAAUUGUAAAUUUGCUGAAUGCGUAGGGAUAGAAAUUUUCAUCGUUAGUAGUUUGUUAUAAUUAAUUUGGCUAAAGAUAUGAUUUUUAUAGUUAAUAAUUUAUUUAUUAAAGUAUUAAGUUUAACUUUUUAAUUUAAGAAAUAAUGAUAAAAUUAGUAUAUUUAUUUGUAGAUUUAAAUCUAGUUGGCUGGAGCAUUAAAGGAAUUCGGCAACUAUGCUCUUCACCUGUUUAUUAAAAACAUGUCCUUUUGAUUAUUAUUUAAGGUCGGGCCUGCCCAAUGAGGAUUUGAAUGGCCGCAGUAAUUUGACUGUGCUAAGGUAGCAUAAUCAUUAGUUUCUUAAUUAGGAACUGGAAUGAAAGGUUUGAUGAGGGAGCAACUGUCUCUAAUGUUUGUCUAGAAUUUUAUUUUUAAGUAAAAAAGCUUAAAUUUUGUUGAAAGACGAGAAGACCCUAUAGAGUUUAAUAGAUUAAUUUUUUACACAUUUUUGUAAGUUAUUUGGUGUGAUAUUUUGAUUUAUUUGGUUGGGGUGAUUGUAAAAUUGGCUGAACUUUUACUUGAAUACGCUCACUGAUGUGUGUCUAGAUGAUCCAAUGAUUUUGAUUAUAAGAAUAAAUUACCUUAGGGAUAACAGCGUAAUCUUUUUUUAGAGUUCUAAUCGAUAAAAGGGAUUGCGACCUCGAUGUUGGAUUAAAAUUUACUUAGGGUGCAAUAGCUUUAAAGUUGGGUCUGUUCGACCUUUAAAAUUUUACAUGAUCUGAGUUUAAACCGGCGUGAGCCAGGUUGGUUUCUAUCUUCAAUUCUUUUUGAGGCCCUAGUACGAAAGGACCGGG